AAAAAAGUGUACCUUUACAACCCCUUUAAUUUCUGCUGCUUGUGACAGCUCACCAGUGGCAGUAUUAAAACUUCACUUUACCUAAUGGACAUUAUGGGUGGCCAGAAUGCUACAGAAUCCUAUCUUGCUGGUCCAGCAAAGAAGUGAUGCCAUAUGAGUGAUUUGUUGCCAGAAUUAUUAGUUUGAUAAGCCCUCAAACAUUAGAGAAGUAAUCCAUUAAUUCUAAAUGAUGAAACACCUGCGAUUCUGUGAGCACCUGACAUUCAUUACAUCACACCUGUCUCUCACUGCUAAACACAAACUAUGCUGGAAACAUCACAUACAAACCAUCAGAAAGCUAAAUCAAGGGUCAUUUCCUGCUCUGAGUGACCAGACAGCCACUGGAGGUCAGUCCAGUUCAUCAUUGCUUUUCUAAAAGGUUUGCUGAGCAAGAAAUAAAGACUUGUCUCUCUGUGAUCCAGUGCCAGCCCUCUUCCAGGAUAAAUAUGUUCCAGCAUCAUUCAACCCAAUUCUUGUUAAUCCAAGCUAUCAUGGACACACCCCAUUGUGGUGCUUCUUUACGCCAGCCAGGAUACACAGUAUUACCUGUACAGAAUAGCGCUUACAUAUAAUCUAAGCACUGCUCUGCCUGAGAAUAAGGAUUACCCUCAAUCACCUCCAGAGGAGAAGAGGUAGGACUUGUGAUGUCAUAACCUAACUUUGCAUUGAUAAAGGGAGGCUCUGUAAUCCCCAAAUGAUGGUCAGUGAUGUGUGAAUAAAAAAAUGAAUGGACAAAAAGACCUCUUUCUUCAUGAGGAAGGACUACUAGUGAAGAUUGUUCAUGAUCUUUAAGUUUUGGGCCCAUAUGAUGUGUGACUAACAUAACAUACAGUAUAUGCUGUGAACCAUGCAGCCAGCCUGAAAAUUGCAGGCUUUGAAGUGGUUAUAAACCUCUGACAUGAAAAAUGAACAAAUCAUGCCCUUCUAUAUUGUUUAUUUGCCUCAAUCUAAAGCACUGAGUGUGAUUUCUCUCUGCUGUCUCCUUCCUAUACUAUCUGCAUUAGUCAGUGCCAACAGGUUAUCCAAAUUCUCAUG